rnacentral:rRNA from 1 species
UGGGGAAUAUUGGACAAUGGGCGAAAGCCUGAUCCAGCCAUGCCGCGUGUGUGAAGAAGGUCUUCGGAUUGUAAAGCACUUUAAGCGAGGAGGAGGGUACUGGUAUUAAUACUACCAGCUACUGGACGUUACUCGCAGAAUAAGCACCGACUAACUCUGUGCCAGCAGCCGCGGUAAUACAGAGGGUGCGAGCGUUAAUCGGAUUUACUGGGCGUAAAGCGUGCGUAGGCGGCUAAUUGAGUCGGAUGUGAAAUCCCCGAGCUUAACUUGGGAAUUGCAUUCGAUACUGGUUAGCUAGAGUGUGGGAGAGGAUGGUAGAAUUCCAGGUGUAGCGGUGAAAUGCGUAGAGAUCUGGAGGAAUACCGAUGGCGAAGGCAGCCAUCUGGCCUAACACUGACGCUGAGGUACGAAAGCAUGGGGAGCAAACAGG